GCGGUGGAGCAUGUGGUUUAAUUCGAUGCAACGCGAAGAACCUUACCAGGGUUUUGACAUCCUGCGAAUCUUUUGGAAACAGAAGAGUGCCUUCGGGAACGCAGUGACAGGUGGUGCAUGGCUGUCGUCAGCUCGUGUCGUGAGAUGUUGGGUUAAGUCCCGCAACGAGCGCAACCCACGUCUUUAGUUGCCAGCAUUCAGUUGGGCACUCUAGAGAGACCGCCGGUGAUAAACCGGAGGAAGGUGUGAUGACGUCAAGUCAUCAUGCCCCUUACAUCCUGGGCUACACACGUACUACAAUGCUACGGACAAAGGGCAGCAAACUCGCGAGAGCUAGCAAAUCCCAUAAACCGUGGCUCAGUUCAGAUCGUAGGCUGCAACUCGCCUACGUGAAGGAGGAAUCGCUAGUAAUCGCAGGUCAGCAUACUGCGGUGAAUACGUUCCCGGGCCUU
rnacentral:rRNA from 1 species